UCAGUCCGUGCGAAUCUUGCAGACUCUCAUCAUUCACUUCACAGCCUCUUUAAACUUAUUCCGUGCUUUUCAGUUUUCACCCACCCACUAAUGGUACCUCUCACUCUUGAGUCUCUCUAUAUAUACUUCUCAUCUUCCACACACCAGAAAAAGGAGAGCCUUCAUAUGUGUGAGGCUCGAUUGUGCAAUAUGAAGGAAGGUAAAGCCUUUUCAACGCUCGAAAAGGAUUUGGCAGUAAAGAGCAAAGACGGGUGGUUCAAGUGUGGGAGGGGGUGGAAUAAAGAAUGUUUACUCCUAAUGCCAACGUGUUACAUUUGGUGAAAGUUGGAUUUAGGAGUAAACAAGUUUGAAAACUUGUUUACAUUUCCCUAUUCUACGUUUCUCCUUCUACUGUUUUUCCCUGCCUCUUUUGUUUUCCUUUUCUUUUUAACUCUACUGUUUUUCCCUAACCCUCAUCUUCUCCUUUUUAUCUCCCAAGCCAGCCUUGUUCUUUGUGCGCCAUGACCAAGCCUCUCUUUCUUUCAAUCAGACCCAUUCUUCUCCUUGCUUGCCUCUGUCGAUCGCAUGGACUUAGAUUCAUGUAUAUGUACCAGCAAUACAUGAGAAGAAGACAUAGAAAACGGUACCAUUGUGGCUUUACUGGUGGCAUUCAAGCACUUUGGGCACAUGUUGCUGAACUGCUUAUAUUGCCAAAGUGGAAUGGAAGGAUUUCGAAAGAUUUAACAAAGUAGUUGAUGAGGUAUAUAUAAGCCAGUUCUUUCAUCACUUUCUGUGUAUGCGUAUAAUGACAAGCACAUGGUAGAAUGUGUCUUAUAUAUUGGUGUAAUUUGAAAUACAUCUUAUUGUAGACUAGUGCUUCUAAUGAGACACAACCCUUAUGCUUUGGUUGGAAGUUUCUUCAGAACCUUCCUAUGUUCCCCAUUUCUUCUCUCUGGUCAGGUCUUUUGGUGAAUUUGAUUUUUGUUGUACGUUUACCUUAAGAAGUGGUAAAAGUAAAACCCAAGUUUUCUAGCCUAAGUGUACAUUUGAUAAGACAACCCUUUAGGGCUUUAGUGCAGUUGUUUUCAUUAAUGUCUCUGUUGCCUUUUUGGAUUUCAGCUAGCAACUUUUUAAAUUUGAAUUUACUUAGUUUUCCUUUUACUUUACACCUCUUACUGUCCUACGUACAGGCUUAAGUUACUAUUUCCCUGCUUGUUUAGAUGAAUUUCUUUCAUAUGUUUGGAAUGAACUUAAAAUAUCCACACACACACAAUAUAGUGUCAGUUGUUACAUGCUCCUGUAAUGGAUGGGUGCACGUGCCACACAUCGCACACUCCAAAAGAAUUUCAUGCAAUUUGUUCUAAUCAAAUGCUGUCUGUGUCAACCCUUGUGCUUUGGAGAGAAGCGAUUAGUGGUGAUUUCUGGAAACCCUUUCAUAAAAAAAUCAGGUAAAAGAUUAUGGGUAUCUCCUCUCUUGCUGUUUCAACAUGAAGCAGUAAACAUAACAUCCGGUGUCUGUAUUAAGCAGGGUGGAGGAAGAUAUCAUUCUACUUCAACCUCUCUUUUGAAAUCAGAGACAAGACUAUCGAACUUGAUGAAAAUCAAAAUGUUCAACGUGCUGAAUUUGUGGUUCGGGCAUACAUGCAAGGUGGUAGGUUCUCAGAUGGGUGGGGCUCAUGUGAGCGGCGUGAGAAGAGAUUUUUAAAACCAAAUCAUGAUAUAUCCAGUACAACAGAGACCAGAGCAAAAAAUAAAUCAUGCCAAGUAUAUCUUUUCUUCUUGCAGUUGGCUUGUGCCUAAAUAUGCUAUUGAUAUUCAACAACUAGCUGUUCAUAUGAUUGUUGCAUUUUCACUAGUUUACAUAGUAAGUUUUGAUGUUAGACUAGCAUCAUAAUCAUUGGCUAAAGCUUGGAUCAGCUUAGAGUCUUAUCAUAUUGUUAAUAUGUAGCUUUAGUAUUGUUUCUUUUCUUUCUGUAGAUCCUAUAGAUGCCAUAAAUAAUAAAAUGGAACAAGUAAUAUAGCUCAGUAAGUUACAUUGAGUUGAUUGCCAUUCGUCACAUAUUGUUUCUUCAAGGCAAAGAUAAAUGUCACAUCUAGGUUGAACCUAUGGCCCACCCAUCACUCUUUGUUUAGAGGAGGGAGGUGAUGCCCUUUGGUCUACAGACAAUUGCCAUUGUUUGCACAACAUGUAGUCUAGAAGACAAAAGUAGAAAUUUUGUUAAAGAAUAUAAAAUUUUAAGUAUUUUUCAUUAAGAAAAUUUUCCUGAAUGUUAAAUAUGUGCUUGCAUAAAAAUUUUAGUCUCUUGAAGCUAGCUGUUGUCAAGUCUCAAUGUUACAAGUUGGUGAUACCUCUAUUGUAUGAAGAUAGUAUCAGAGCUUUCAUUAUGAAGAUUAUGCAAGACACUGAUCAAAUGUUGGAAUUUGGGAAAGAUUUCUAGACACAAAGACAACAUUUUCAGAUAAUUUUAGUCUGGAAGUGCUACAACAAUGUGUCAUGGAUUUAGAUGCUUACAACCUUCACUGGCUGACCUGUAAAUGACUCAAAUAUUUCAUUAUUUGUAUCAUUCAUAUUAGGAUAUGCUGUUUUGCCUCAUUAACCCACUCAUUACCUCGACCACUGACCACCAAAAUCACAAACAAAAACAAACCCAAAACCAAAUCGCAAACCCAAAAUCAAAUCAAAUCACAAACUCAAACCCACACCCACACCCACUGCCACCAGCCACAACAAACCCACAUCGAUCAGAACGCAACAAACCCACGCCGAAAAAAAAACCCUCAAACGUAACAAACCCAAAAUUCUGGUUCCAACAGGUUUGACAAAAUCAUAUUCCCACAGAGCAUGCAUCACCGAUUCAUGCUCCUUCAAACAAAGAGGCCAAGAUGACUUAGAUAAGAUUCUUAUGCUUCAUCAGAUUUGCCUUUAGUUGGCAAAGCAUCGACACCGGAAAAAAACCCACAAACCGAAUCCAUGGAGGCUUGGUUCGGUGGCUCAAGGCAGGGGCAAGACGAUCUGGGGCGAGAGGACUGGCAGCGUGGGUGACCAGGGAGAAGCAACAGAAGAGAGAGAGGAGGCAGAAUGUGCAAAAAUAAAGAGAGAUAAAAGAGGAUUUGUGUGAGAGACAGAGA